CAAUCAACAACUCAACACAAAACAUGUGGUUUACAUAAACGCACUUAGUCAACAAAAUUUAAUAACGUGGGUCCCCAUAUGCCCAAUCAUUGGAAGGACCAAUUGAUAUAUUGGAGCCACUCUUGGCUGAUUGCUCCAUACUCCUUGUUGAGCAAUAAUCUCAGAGGAUAAACAAGUAUCCUAAACAAGCUUCAGUUAUGGUGAGGUCUGAUCAAAAGCCAUCUGACUCUCAAAAGAUGGCAGAAGUACAGAUCAAAAAGUUUGCAUCUCGGAAAUCUGCCAUGAAAUCGGAUACGAUAUUUGUAAUAUUCUAUAUUUUAUCUGUGUCACUGGAUCCUUUGUUCCUCUACAGUCUUAUCCUCAACGACGAUAGGAAGUGUGCGUAGUGGACACAAAAUUUUAAAAAAUAGCUAUUGUUUUGCGAUCAUUGGCAGAUCUCUCCUACCUAUUGCACAUCAGUAUUCGUUUUAUGCGUCGUAUUUUUAUUUUUAUUCAGUCUCUUAUUUUGGGUAUUCCUUAUUCACGACGAAAAGAUGUUUGGAGCAUGACAAUGGCGAUUUUAACUGCUCUUCCUGUUCCGCAAGUAAGAAAACCAUUUCCUAAUUAUGUAUAAUUUAAUCAAGGCUUUCCUCUCCUCCUAAUAAUAAUAUCUAUAAGUUGAGCUUGAGACUAGAGACUAAUGAAUACUAUAUAUGUAUAUGUGGCUGUGUGAGGGUGGAAGGAUUUUUUCUUGUCAAAUACGACCCUUUUGUAGAGAAAUAACUAGGGUUUAGAGAAGAAUAAGAAGUAGAACACCCCACGAUGAGUAUUUUGGUUGUA